rnacentral:rRNA from 1 species
GACGAACGCUGGCGGCGUGCCUAAUACAUGCAAGUCGAGCGAGCGGCGGAUGUGUGGGUAAUGUCUGGGAACCUGCCCGAUGACGGGGGAUAACUACUGGAAACGGUAGAUAAUACCGCAUACCCUCGGAUGUGCCCAGAUGGGAUUAGCUAGUCGGUGGGGUAACGGCUGACCUAGGCGACGAUCCCUAGCUGGUCGUAGAGGAUGACCAGCAACACUGGAACUGAGACACGGUCCAGACUACUACGGGAGGCAGCAGUGGGGAAUAUGGCACAAUGGGCGCAAGCCUGAUGCAGCCAUGCCGGGUGUAUGAAGAAGGCCUUCGGGUUGUAAAGUACUUUCAGCGAGGAGGCGUUACUCGCAGAAGAAGCACCGGCUAACUCCGUGCCAGCAGACGCGGUAAUAC